GUUGAGAUAGAUUUAGUUUGUUUUAAUCUCUUUGUUAGUCUAUAUAUAUUGUAGUCUAGUCAAGUAUUAUGAAUGAAAUACAAGUAUUAUUUUAUCAAAUUCAAGUUGGUAUCAGAGCUAGUUUUGAUCCUACCGCUGUGAGGGGGCUCCUCCCCCGUGAGCCCCCUCAUGGUGACUUUCAAAAUCUCUUUGGAUUUAUUUUUCGUACUUUGCUUCCGUUUGUUAGUUCUAGCCGUUUUCUUACGGCCUCGUUUCUUUUUGAUUAUGGUUUCCUUUCUUUAGAGUUGGAAAAGAUUUUCGGAUUGUUUUUGGGAAUUUCUCUCUCCGGCAGCAGCAUCUUCUCAAGUUAAUUAUUUUUUGUUACAAGCUAUGCAUAUGAUAUAUAUGCUCUAGCUUGAGGGGAAGUGUUGUGUGAAUUUCUCUCUCCGGCAGCAGCGGCUUCUCGAGUUAAUAAUAUUUGUUACAAGCUAUGCAUAUGACAUAUAUGCUUUACCUUGAUGGGAAGUGUUAGAUAUUGUUAAAUAUCUUAGAGACUACAGUCAGCCACCGCCGCCGGAUUCCAAGCCACACGCCUCCCAUCUCUCUGCGUGUGAAGUCCACGCGCCACUCUCUCGUCUGCUUUGUUCACGCUGGUCCUCUUUGUGUAUCAGCCAGGUUGCACCGCUCUCUCCGCUGCUUUGUUCUCGCUGGUCCUCUGUGUAUCAGCCAGGUUUGGUUUUAAGGAUCCUCUGUUUUGACGUGUGUUGUGCCUUCACAAUUGUGAUCAUCCGGUCUUCCUCUCCCUGUUUGGUUGUUUGGUUUGUGGGUCAGCUGUUUUGACCCUGUUUGGACGUUUCUCGUGUCAUAUCUCACUGUUGGCCAAGUUUGGGUUGGUUUAGAGUUUUAACUCUGUUUUGACGCUCAGGUCCACAUUGGUUUUUGAGACUUGAGUUGUUGUUUGCGUCUCAUGGUUCGAGAUGCUGUUAUUAUAUUGAUCUAGGCUGACUUUAUGCAAUUUGGUUUGGUUUGGUUUUGAAGGUGACAGUGUCACCUUCGUUUGUUUUGUCUCGAUUGUUUGGUUUGGUUUCGGGGCUUCAGGUGCGAGUUGCGCUGGCCCACUCUCUAGUUGAGAGUUAUUGGUUCUGGUUUUAGGGCUUCAGCUGCGAGUUGCGCUGGCCCACUCUCUAAUGUUUGAGAGUUGUCUGUGUCAAAGUUGACACCAUUGUUUGUCUUAGAAGCCAUCAAUCGAUUGACUUCAAGUAUGUUUUAUUUCUGUGUGGUUGAUGUUGGUGAAUUGUUGCUUCAGCUUUGUUUUGUUUUCGGGCGUAUUGUUGCUGGUUUUUCGC
rnacentral:lncRNA from 1 species